rnacentral:rRNA from 1 species
GUGCCAGCAGCCGCGGUAAUACGUAGGGUGCGAGCGUUAAUCGGAAUUACUGGGCGUAAAGCGUGCGCAGGCGGUUUUGUAAGACAGGCGUGAAAUCCCCGAGCUCAACUUGGGAAUGGCGCUUGUGACUGCAAGGCUAGAGUAUGUCAGAGGGGGGUAGAAUUCCACGUGUAGCAGUGAAAUGCGUAGAGAUGUGGAGGAAUACCGAUGGCGAAGGCAGCCCCCUGGGACGUCACUGACGCUCAUGCAC